rnacentral:rRNA from 1 species
GAUGAACGCUAGCGGCAGGCUUAACACAUGCAAGUCGAGGGGUAGAGGCUUUCGGGUCUUGAGACCGACGCACGGGUGCGUAACGCGUAUGCAAUCUGCCUUGUACUGGGGGAUAGCCCAGAGAAAUUUGGAUUAAUACCCCAUAGUAUUUUCGGUUGGCAUCAACUGAUUAUUAAAGUUUUUCGGUACAAGAUGAGCAUGCGUCCCAUUAGCUAGUUGGUAUGGUAACGGCAUACCAAGGCUACGAUGGGUAGGGGUCCUGAGAGGGAGAGCCCCCACACUGGUACGGAGACACGGACCAGACUCCUACGGGAGGCAGCAGUGAGGAAUAUUGGUCAAUGGUCGCAAGACUGAACCAGCCAUGCCGCGUGCAGGAUGAAGCAUCUACGGUGUGUAAACUGCUUUUGUACGGGAAGAAACACUCCUACGUGUAGGAGCUUGACGGUACCGUAAGAAUAAGGAUCGGCUAACUCCGUGCCAGCCGCCGCAGUAAAAC